rnacentral:misc_RNA from 1 species
UCACCAUCGAGCCCUGCUCGGCGAUGGGCCUCGUCCUCGCGGACGUGCCCGAAACCCGUGGGCGCCGUCGUCCGGCCCUGAGCGUAGCAAGAGAAAUCCCUCGCUCGGUGGACCGUCCGGUGGCCGCCCCGACAACUUUUCACAA